rnacentral:tRNA from 1 species
GGUGGGCUGGCAGAGCGGCUGAAUGCACUGGUCUUGAAAACCAGCAAGGAGUUAAAUCCUUCGGGGGUUCAAAUCCCUCGCCCAUCGCCA